UAAAAGUAAGCAAGGGCGCAUGGCGGAUGCCUUGGCUCUCGGAGGCGAUGAAGGACGUGAUAAGCUGCGAUAAGCUUCGGGUAGGUGCAAAUAACCUUUGAUCCGGAGAUUUCCGAAUGGGACAACCCGAUUGGUUGAAGACCAAUCAUCCAACUAAGUUGGAGGCUAACGCAGGGAACUGAAACAUCUUAGUACCUGCAGGAAAAGAAAAUAAAUAAUGAUUCCCCUAGUAGUGGCGAGCGAACGGGGACUAGCCCAAACCACCUAUGUUACGGCAUAUGUGGGGUUGUAGGACCACGUUGUGGCAAGAAAACUGGUGAGUAGAAUGUUCUGGAAAGUUCAACCAUAGAGCAUGAUAGUUGCGUAUACGAAGCCGGUCGAAGCCUAGUGGUAUCCUGAGUAGCGCGGAGCACGAGGAAUUCUGCGUGAAUCAGCCGGGACCAUCCGGUAAGGCUAAAUACUCCCGAGAGACCGAUAGUGAACCAGUACUGUGAAGGAAAGGUGAAAAGCACUUCGAACAGAAGAGUGAAAUAGUUCCUGAAACCAUGCGCCUACAAGCGGUCGGAGCUCGCAAGAGUGACGGCGUGCCUUUUGCAUAAUGAACCUACGAGUUACUUUUUCCGGCAAGGUUAAGGGUCUUGAGACCUGCAGCCGAAGCGAAAGCGAGUCUUAACAGGGCGUUCAGUCGGAAGGAGUAGACGCGAAACCAAGUGAUCUACCCUUGGGCAGGUUGAAGGAUGGGUAACACCAUCUGGAGGACCGAACCAAUAAGCGUUGAAAAGCUUCUGGAUGACCUGAGGGUGGGGGUGAAAGGCUAAUCAAACUUGGAGAUAGCUCGUACUCCCCGAAAUGCAUUUAGGUGCAGCCUUGACUUAUACUGGCAUGAGGUAGAGCGACUGAUAAGAUGCGAGGGCUUCACCGCCUAUCAAGUCUUGACAAACUCCGAAUGCGUGUCAGUUCUAUGUCAGGAGUGAGGGCAUGGGUGCUAAGGUCCAUGUCCUAAAGGAGAACAAUCCGGACCAACAGCUAAGGUCCCGAAAUGAAUACUAAGUUGAACUAACGAAGUCAGAUUGCUAAGACAGCUAGGAUGUUGGCUUGGAAGCAGCCAUUCAUUUAAAGAGUGCGUAACAGCUCACUAGUCGAGGAGUUUGGCGUGGAUAAUAAUCGGGCAUCAAGUAUUCUACCGAAGCUUUGGGAUGUGUAAACAUCGGUAGGGGAGCAUUCCACUCAGCGUUGAAGGUGAGGCGUGAGCCUUGCUGGAGCGUGUGGAAAAGCAAAUGUAGGUAUAAGUAACGAUAAAGGGGGUGGGAAACCCCCUCGCCGAAAGACUAAGGUUUCCUGAUCAACGCUAAUCGGAUCAGGGUUAGUCGGGUCCUAAGGCUCAGCCGAACGGCGAGGCCGAUGGCAGAACCGGUUAAUAUUCCGGUACUACCUCAAGGAGUGACGUGGAGACGGAGCAGUGACAGUGCCGCGGACUGACGGAAUAGUCCGUUAAAGGGUGUAGAUGUUGAUUCCUGCAGGCAAAUCCGCAGGAAGAGUCGAACCUGAGAGUAUGGAGCGUCCUUCGGGACAAUCCAAUAGUGCANGCUAAACUUAAUCCUUGUGGUACCCGUACCGCAAACGGACACACGUAGUCGGGUUGAAUAUACUAAGGCGCUUGAGUGAUUCACGGUUAAGGAACUAGGCAAACUGACCCUGUAACUUCGGGAUAAAGGGUCCUCAGGGUGACUUGAGGCGCAGAGAAUCGGUCCAGGCAACUGUUUAACAAAAACACAGGGCUGUGCAAAAUAGAAAUAUGAAGUAUACAGCCUGACACCUGCCCGGUGCUGGAAGGUUAAGAGGAGAUGUCAUCGCAAGAGAAGCAUUGAAUUGAAGCCCCAGUAAACGGCGGCCGUAACUAUAACGGUCCUAAGGUAGCGAAAUUCCUUGUCGGGUAAGUUCCGACCUGCACGAAUGGUGUAAUGAUCUGGACGCUGUCUCAACCGUGAGCUCAGUGAAAUUGUAGUAUCGGUGAAGAUGCCGAUUACCCGCGAUGGGACGAAAAGACCCCGUGAACCUUUACUAUAGCUUAACAUUGAAUUUGGGUAAUUGAUGUGUAGGAUAGGCCGGAGGCUUNCGGGGACACUGUUUGGUGGGUAGUUUGACUGGGGUGGUCGCCUCCAAAAGCGUAACGGAGGCUUCUAAAGGUGCCCUCACGACGAUUGGUAACCGUCGGCAGAGUGUAAUGGCAUAAGGGCGCUUGACUGGGAGACUAACAAGUCGAUCAGGUAGGAAACUAGAGCAUAGUGAUCCGGUGUUUCUGUAUGGAAAGGACAUCGCUCAAAGGAUAAAAGGUACUCCGGGGAUAACAGGCUGAUCCCUCCCAAGAGCUCAUAUCGACGGAGGGGUUUGGCACCUCGAUGUCGGCUCGUCACAUCCUGGGGCUGGAGAAGGUCCCAAGGGUUGGGCUGUUCGCCCAUUAAAGUGGCACGCGAGCUGGGUUCAGAACGUCGUGAGACAGUUCGGUCUCUAUCUAUCGUGGGCGUAUGAAAUUUGCGUGGCUCUGACACUAGUACGAGAGGACCGUGUUGGACUGACCUCUGGUUUACCGGUUGUGCCGCCAGGUGCAUUGCCGGGUAUCUAAGUCGGGAUUGGAUAAGUGCUGAAAGCAUCUAAGUACGAAGCCAGCCACAAGAUUAGAUUUCUUAGGGUCGUCAUAGACGAUGACGUUGAUAGGAUGCAGGUGUACAGGCAGCGAUGUCAUAGCCGAGCAUUACUAAUUGCCCGUUCACUUUUGGUC
rnacentral:rRNA from 1 species